GACGAACGCUGGCGGCGUGCUUAACACAUGCAAGUCGAACGGAAAGGCCUUUUCGGCGGUACUCGAGUGGCGAACGGGUGAGUAACACGUGGGUGAUCUGCCCUGCACUCUGGGAUAAGCCUGGGAAACUGGGUCUAAUACCGGAUAGGACCGCACUUUAGUGUGUGUGGUGGAAAGUUUUUUCGGUGUAGGAUGAGCCCGCGGCCUAUCAGCUUGUUGGUGGGGUAAUGGCCUACCAAGGCGGCGACGGGUAGCCGGACUGAGAGGUUGGUCGGCCACAUUGGGACUGAGAGACGGCCCAGACUCCUACGGGAGGCAGCAGUGGGGAAUAUUGCACAAUGGGCGCAAGCCUGAUGCAGCGACGCCGCGUGGGGGAUGACGGCCUUCGGGUUGUAAACUACUUUCGCCAGGGACGAAGCGUUUUGUGACGGUACCUGGAGAAGAAGCACCGGCUAACUACGUG
rnacentral:rRNA from 1 species